UUUUUUUCUUGAUGAAAGUCAAUUUUGUUUUCUUUUUUCCUUUGUUUUCUUCGUCGUCAUUUUCAUCGUCGUCAUCCGAGGAAAAAGAAGACGAGGAAGAAGACGGAGGCGUAU
rnacentral:ribozyme from 1 species